UACGAAGGGGGCUAGCGUUGUUCGGAAUCACUGGGCGUAAAGGGCGCGUAGGCGGCUUUAUAAGUCGGGGGUGAAAGCCUGUGGCUCAACCACAGAAUUGCCUUCGAUACUGUAGAGCUUGAGACCGGGAAGAGGUAAGUGGAACUGCGAGUGUAGAGGUGAAAUUCGUAGAUAUUAGCUAGAACACCAGUGGCGAAGGCGGCCAACUGGUCCGGAACUGACGCUGAGGUGCGAAAAGCGUGGGGGAGCGAACAGG
rnacentral:rRNA from 1 species